rnacentral:rRNA from 1 species
AUGGCGAUUCACCUGCUGGCGUUCGUGGCGGCCAAGGGCUUCCUGCAGGUCUUCCAGGUCUCGGCGCCGCUGCUGUGGCCGCUCAACCUCUUCCUGCCGCUCCUCCGCAACCUUCCCCAGGCCUGCGUCGUCGUCUGCGGCGCGCUCGCCGCCCACGUCGCCUGGCUGCGCCGCGCGUACGCACGCCGCGGAUCCGGAAGCCGCGACGACGGCCAGGCCCACCGCCAGUCGAUGGUCGACAUCGCGUAG